rnacentral:rRNA from 1 species
UACGUAGGGGGCAAGCGUUGUCCGGAUUUAUUGGGCGUAAAGAGCGUGUAGGCGGCCAGGUAGGUCAGCUGUGAAAACUCGAGGCUCAACCUCGAGACGUCGGUUGAAACCACCUGGCUAGAGUCCGGAAGAGGAGAGUGGAAUUCCUGGUGUAGCGGUGAAAUGCGCAGAUAUCAGGAGGAACACCGGUGGCGAAGGCGGGAUCCUGGGCCAGUACUGACGCUGAGGAGCGAAAGCGUGGGGAGCAAACAGG